GAUGAACGCUGGCGGCGUGCCUAAUACAUGCAAGUCGAGCGAACGGACGAGAAGCUUGCUUCUCUGAUGUUAGCGGCGGACGGGUGAGUAACACGUGGAUAACCUACCUAUAAGACUGGGAUAACUUCGGGAAACCGGAGCUAAUACCGGAUAAUAUAUUGAACCGCAUGGUUCAAAAGUGAAAGACGGUCUUGCUGUCACUUAUAGAUGGAUCCGCGCUGCAUUAGCUAGUUGGUAAGGUAACGGCUUACCAAGGCAACGAUGCAUAGCCGACCUGAGAGGGUGAUCGGCCACACUGGAAGUGAGACACGGUCCAGACUCCUACGGGGGGCAGCAGUAGGGAAUCUUCCGCAAGGGGGGAAAGCCUGACGGAGCAACGCCGCGUGAGUGAUGAAGGACUUCGGAUCGUAAAACUCUGUUAGUAGGAAGGAACAAAAGUGUAAGUAACUGUGCACAUAUUGACGGUACCUGAUCAGAAAGCCACGGCUAACUACGUG
rnacentral:rRNA from 1 species